UUUUGAUUGUUGCUCAGAAAGCCCUUAUAAAUUAUUAGCUGGCUUUCGAGCAAUAAUUGAAACC
rnacentral:pre_miRNA from 1 species